rnacentral:misc_RNA from 1 species
UAGUGGUGUUGUACUUAAGUAAAAACUAAAGAACAGUAAAAGAACUUUGCCCCCUUGAAGUAUAGGUAUACUCAUGCAGGUAUAGUAUGUGAAGUGAGCUAUAGCAGUCAGAUAGCAGUCGCGACUCGCGUUCGGAGCAGUGAUAAUAUUGAGAUUGAUAUAUAGUAAUUGGUGCAGUUUGCAGUAGUGCAACCCCGUUGUCAUCCUCGAGGUCCGCAUGAGGAAGUUCAUAAACACCCUAUAAUCAUCAGGAGUUGUGCGUUGUCGCCUUUUUCUGUAAUACUGUAGGACGAGCAAAAAAAAUCAAGCAAUCUAACCCACGACGCCCGAGACAUCGUUUGUUCAUCACACGCUCCGGGAGCAUUUAUGGCCACCAUCACCGAGGAGCCCGAGCUAAUCGAGCAACAGUUGGACAGCGGCAUGGGUAGCAGCGAUGCACGAUCACCAGAGGUUAAGUGCCUGCUACCAGAAGAGGACGAAGCCGAUGAAGAGGACGAGACUGUUUUGGAGAGGCUUGUUGGACUCACUGAAAUGUUCCCGGAUGGAGUCAGGAAUUUCAGCUGUCGCGCGGCAGGCUUCAUGAAAAAUUUCGUGAAAGGCUUUUAUUCUUUUUCGUGUAAUACGACGUGGAUAUUCUUCAGUUCUUCAGCAAUUUUGAUUGCUCCUUUAAUUUUUGAAAUUGAAAGAGCACAAAUGGAAGAAGCACAACGCCUCCAACAGAAACAAGUGUUAUUUGGACCAAAUACACCAAUGCCAGGUGGUGAUGCUGGUGGUUUCCCAAUGCCUCCUCCAAUUCAGAGAUAAUUUGACGUUAUUACAAAAAACUUGAAAAAGUUAUUUCACAAAACACUGGAUUGUCAUAAUAAAACGAGCACAUUCUACUACUCUCUUGGAUACCUUCAGUGUUAGGUACCUCCAACACUUCAUCAUGUUCAGUUAUCA